GCACAUGCCUGUAAUUCCAGUACUCAAGAGGCUGAGGCACGGGAAUCUCUUGCACCUAGGAGGCAGAGGUUGCAGUGAGCCGACUGUGCCACUGCACUCCAGCCUGGGUGACGGAGUGAGACUCUGUCUCAAAAAAAAAAAAGGAAAAAAAAUUUAGCUGGGUGUGGUAGUGCACACCUGUAGUCCCAGCUACUUGCGAGGCUGAGGUGGGAGGAUCACUUGAGACUGGGAGGUUGAGGCUGCAGUGAGCCAUGAUCGUACCAUUGCAUUCAUGAUCUGCCUGGGCGGCAGAGAAAGACCCCAUCUAUAAAUAAUAAUAAUAACAAAUGUUUUAUAUUGAUUACAUGUUGAAAUGAUAACUCUUUAGAUAUGAGUUAAAAUACAUUAUUAAAAUUAUCAUCUCCUUUUUUAACUUUGUUAAUGUGUCUACUAGAGAAUUAAAAUUUACAAAUGUGGCUCACAUUACAUUUCUUUUGGGCUAUGCUGAUAAAGAUCAGUUUGCUACUACCUAUGAUCAAUGUGCUGCAACCAUAAAUCCAUGUGGGACAAACAGUCUGAUUACUGUUCUAUCUUUCUGUCUUAUUGGAGUAACUGGGCCCACCUUGUCUCUGAUAGUCAAUCACUGUUUCUGAUUGUCACUGUGAGUUCCUAUUACUACAGUUAGUAUUACAGACUGUAAUGUAAUGGCAACAUCUCAUCUCACUGUCAUCCCUAGUCUUUAGAAGCUACCACAGAACUUUUCAAAGAUGCUGGUGUUCUUACUGAUGAAUUUUUAAAUAUUUUGUAAGGGAAGUGUCCUCUGUGCCUUAGGGGAUGGAUUCAGCAGAUUAUAUAAUAUAUAAUAGAUACAUUUCAAUUUCCCACCUCAACAAACUUCCAAUUCUUUGAUUCUUUCUACAAUAUGCUAGGGAAGUUCUGGCAUACUCAGCCUCAUUAGAUGUAGGGCAUUGUUAUAUCAAAGAGUGAAUUACUUAACCAGGCAAACUAUUAGAGCCAUUCCCAGCUGCUUAAGCUACAUCUUGAAUCCCAGGUGAAUUCACCUAUAUUGCCAAAUUUGAUCCAAUCCAGCUAGAUUUCAUCCUGCUUGGUCUACUACUCUUGGAAUCUAUUCCCAAACAUGUUCACCAGGUUUCUGCUAAUAUAACAAAAAGACAUUGUAAUUCUUUUGGAGUAUAACUAUGUCCUUCUGGAGAAGAUCUUUCAUUUUUUUCCUCUAGGCCAUAAGAUUUCUCCUGGCCCUGGAGGCAAUGAGAUAAGGUGGGGCUAGGUCUUUAGGACAAUAGACUGCCUCUUGCAAGGCAACUACCCUAUGUGAAAUAGAAAAGUCUAUGCAAGGGACUACUUUCUCCAGUAAGGGUAAUUCAGGGGCACUUAGGGGGCCAAUUAUCUCAGUUUGUUUGUUUGUUUGUUUGUUUGUGACAGAGUCUCACUCUGUCACCCAGGCUGGAGUGCAGUGGUGAGAUCUCAGCUCACUGCAACCUCUGCCUCCCAGGUGCAAGCAAUUCUUGUGUCUCAGCCUCCUGAGUAGCUGGGAUCACAGGUGCGUGCCAUCAUGCUCGGCUAAUUUUUGUAUUUUUAGUAGAGAUGGAGUUUCACCAUGUUGGCCAAGCUGGUCUCGAACACCUGGCCUCAAGCCAUCCACCCGACUCAGCUUCCGAAAGUGCUGGAGUUACAAGCUUGAGCCACUGCUCCCAGCCAGGAAUUUCAGUUUCAUUUGUUUCAUUCCAAAUGUCCUCUUCCCAAUCUCAGGGCCCAAUUCUAGCACAGACUAAUGUUAGAUAAGGUUGUACAUUUAAGAGGCUUUACAAAUCUUCAACCCCCACAAUUAUAUCUUAGGCGUGACCCACAGCUUUGUCUUCCCUGAGGCUUCAUGAGAUAAGGAAUUCCUAUAAGGCCUCCGUAGAAACUUUCCGGUUCUACACCCAUGUCUUGAGUUGCAAGUUCAAGGUUCAAAGCUUCUCUCUCUUUCUCUCUCUCUCUCUCUUUCAAACUCUCCAGCACAGUCAGAACUAGCCAGCCCAUCCUGUAAUUACUGUAAUCACCUCUGACUGUUGCCAUAACAGUGGUCACAUAAAACUGCACCUUCCACUAGCUCUCCAUCCUACAUCACCAUCAGUAAUAAUGUGAGUCAUCUUAAUGCUACUUCAUGCCACACCAUGUCCCAUUUCCAUCCACCAUAAGGUCAUUUAUGCCUUCAUUACAUAAGUGAGAAACCUAGUUCCCAAAUCUCAUUUUCAAGGUUGUUCCUAGGACCACUUCAGUUACCAACUAUUGCAUUAGUCAGGGUCUCAGCAGGAAGCAGCAUCUACACCAGAUGGUUUAGAUAAAGAUAUCUUAAUGAAGAGCUAUCACAGAGGCAUGAGCAAGGUUAAGGGGGCAAAUGUGGGAUGUUAAGGAACUAAUGGCUUAGCAACUGUGUGAAGCCAUCACUACUUCAAGGGCUGAGAGCAGAAGCAAAUAAUGUCACCAAAGGAAGAAGUCAGAUGUAGAGUCAUGAAGGAAGAGACACAGGGCAGGAGUUGCAGUCCAUGGAGGGUCACAGCCACCGCCAGAGAUGUAAUAUACAUGCAGGGAAGAACUACUCCAACCUCACUGCCAAAAACAAUCGGAAGCUGGAAGACAAAGGAGCCUAGGCAGUGCGUUCCAGAAAAAGGGCGAGUAUCCUGGGCCACAAGCAGCAUAAAGAAGGGCUGAGAAUGCAUUUCAGGUAGGAGGGAAAAAGCUCUCCAGCUCUCCAGGUAUGGCACUAUACAUGAACCAUGUCCCUUAAUCCUUCUAACCUAAUAUUAAUAAGGCAUAAACUAUUAUUAUCCCCAUUUUACGGAUGAGGACAUACGCUCAGAGAAUAGCUUGCUCAAGAUUAUACAAAUAGUCAAUGGUGGGGCUGCAACUUGACCUGGGCAAUUUGAACUUUAGUUUUUGUAUCAUGCUGAAUGAGAUGAGUUAGGCUAGAGUAGAGGGUUCCACUAGAGGAGAAGUGAAGACAUUUGGGGCCAAAGCAUGGAAGACUUGAAAUCUGCUCUAAGGAAUUCUGUAGCUUUCUCUCCAAGUUGUAGGCAGGUACCACAACUGUUCUGCAGUGCUUAAUCAAGCCCUGCAGGAAUUAGAAAAUUUAUUCACCUUUGCUGCUGCUUCUUAGUAACCUGGUCCAGAGAGUCAGCCUUGAAGAACCUGCCUUGUGCUCCUGAGUGUGGAAGAUGUUGGCUGUUUGUGCUCCCCAUUAUCCAUAUCCUUUUAUGGAUGACAAUGAUUGGCCCAAAGAUGGAUCCAAGCUCCUCAGGAGGCUGAGGCAGGAGGACUGGUUGAGCCCAGGAAUUCAAGACCAGCCUGGAGAAAAUAGCAAGACCCUGUCUCAGUAAAUAAAUAAAUAAAUAAAUAAAUAAAUAAAUAAAUAAAUAAAUAAAUACGGUGGGCAUAUGACUCAAGUCAGGCCAAAAGGAGCCAAGAAAAGUCAAUUCCUAGAACUUCAUCAGAGUAAUAAUCAUCUGAAAAGAAUUUGGGGUAUGGCUUUUACUGCCAGAUUUCUAUAGAUGAAGCCAAGACUGAAGCCAACACAGAAGAAAGGCGAACUGAGACAUGACCCACGUCACAUCCCUAUAACAGGCUUGAGCCUUCAUCCAGCCAUAGCCACAUCCUGGCAGAUCCCUGGACUUUUUGUUACAUUCUAUAAGCCUGAGGAGUGAGUCCCAAGAUGGAAGAAACCUAUGUGAUGGCAGAGGGUGAGACGCCCCGGAGAAGAGGAAUAUAUCCCCUGGGAUGAGAGACAAGAUAAACGCUUGAAUCAACACACUCCUCCACAGAGAAAUACCUAGAAGUGGAAUUUUGAAUCAUAUGAGUCCAUUUGCUUUCCCGACAAACUGCAUUGGAUUGGAUUUCACAGGCUGCUGAGGCAAUGCAAGGAGACAGCUUUCAGACUCCUGGAGAGAGGAGGCUGCAGGAGCGUGAUCAGGACAACAGCCACGUGGCCCAUGCUCUCCAGCAACACCCAAGGAGCCCAGGAUUCAGAGCAGGGCCGGUGGUGGGGAAAGCCCUGAACGAGAAUCCCACACUGGCUGCAUGACCUCAGAUGAGGCACCUUGACCCUGAAUCUCAGUUUCCCUACCUGUAAAAUAGGAUGAUAAUUUUUGCUGGUGUGGCAGAGUGGAAACUAAGUCUGGGAGUGUUUGGUUUGAUUAUUAGAAGAAACAGGCCAGGCACAGUGGCUCACGCCUGUAAUCCCAGCAUUUUGAGAGGCUGAGGUGGGUGGAUCACUUGAGGUCAGGAGUUCAAGACCAGCCUGGCCAACAUGGCGAAAUCCUGUCUCUACUAAAACUACAAAAACUAGCUGGGUGUGGUGGUGCACACCUGUAAUCCCAGAGUAGGCUGAGGCAGGAGAAUCGCUUGAACCUGGGAGGCAGAGAUUGCAGGGAGCCAAGAUGGCUCCACUGCAUUCCAGCCCAGGCGACGGGGUGAGACCCAGUCUCACAAAAAAGAAAAAGAAGGAGAAGAAGAAGAAGAAGAGGAAACUGCCCCAUAGAGUAGGCUUUUUCAGCCUCCUCUCCCUGGGUCCUCAUAUCAGCCCUGAUUGCCAGGAAGAAGAGAGGUGACGAUUUCCUCUCACAUAGUAAGGAAAUUGUGGCUCAGCGAUAAACUCCAGCUAGCUUGGGGAGUGAGAGGAAUGCCAGGAGUCAGUCGUGGGUGAUGGGCAGCGCCGGGCUCUCUAGGAGCUCCUGUGGUCGUCUGGCUUUAUCCCUCCUCAAAGAGCUGGGAGUAGGGGAGUGAGGCACUUGCCUCAGGCAUGCAAAAUGUAAGGGGGUGCCAAAAAACUCAGUGAUCAAGAUAAAUAAUAUCUUAAUGUGAUAUUUUUAAAAAUCAAAAUUGGUGCAAAAAAUCCAUAAUGAACAAAAUAUCUAAUUUUUAAAUAAAGAUAAGAUCAAUCCUUAUCUCAUAACACAAGCUGUCUCUUCUGCCUGAGCACAGAGGCAGGAAUGCCCUGGGAUGGAGGAAAUACUGCGUGGGACUCCAUAUUGGGGUUUUAUUCAUCUUGGCCUCUCAGUUCAGGGGGUGACUCUUUUUUUUCUCUGACCUCCAGCUUUCCCACCAGAGGCAGGAGAGCCAAGCAAUCUGCCCUUAGGCUCUGGAGUAAGGUAAAGCUGGAUGUUAAUCCCUGCUCCAUUACUUAUUAGCUAGGGGACCUUUGGAUAGUAGCUUGGAAUAGUGGCUUAACAUCCUGUAAACCUCAGUUUUCUUUCUUUUCUUUUUUUUUUUUUUUUUUUGAGAUGGAGCCUGGCUCUGUCACCCACGCUGGAGUGCAAUGGCGUGACCUCUGCUCACUGCGACUUCCGCCUCCCGGGUUCAAGUGAUUCUCCUGCCUCAGCCUCCUCAGUAGCUGGGAUUACGGGUGCGUGCCACCACGCCUGGCUAGUUUUUUGUAUUUUUAGCAGAGACAGGGUUUCACCAUGUUGGCCAGGCUUGUCUCAAACUCCUGACCUCAGGUGAUCCACCCACCUUGGCCUCCCAAAGUGCUGGGAUUACAGGCGUGAGCCUCCACGCUCGGCCUUAAACCUCAGUUUUCUAGUCUGUAAACCUCCAUUUUCUAAUCUGUACCUGCCUGGCUGGGUUACUGUGAAGAUUAAAUGAGAAAAUGUGCACAUGGCUUUUAACACAGGACCUCCGCCAUCAUAAGUGCUCAAUAAACAUUACUUACUGUUUUUACCUCUAAAUUAAGUAUCAUUGUCCUCAGUCCCAAAGUGAGACAAAUUAUAUGCUAAAGAGAUAUGAUAGCACCUAGAAGGAAGGAGAAAAAAAAUCAAGCACAGUGUCCCAUUCCACUGCUGGAAGCCACCAGGAAGACAGUACUAUCUACACAACUCUCUGUCUCCUAAAGGAAUUCUGGGCAUAGUCUGGGUGUUUCAGCCAGGCCCCUCCCAAGAGAAGUUCAAGGUUGAACCCAACCUGCUGGACCACAGGGAGUCUCCUAAUCCCAGCCACACAUUCCCCAGAGCAGGUGCCACAAGCCCAGAGACAAGUCACCAUGGGAAGGUGGAUGUCAGGGCAGCUGAGCCCUGAGGGUCUUGGUAAUGAAAAACUCCCCACCAACACUAUCACUGGUCCUGCUUCCCUUUUUGAAUUGGAUGCUAAGGAGCCUAGAGCUAAAUUUACAGCCCAUCUUUAGCAAGCACAUAAUACUUCACUUCAUACAUUUGGUGUGGAAACCUCCAUCUACAAUUCCUGCUGUUAUUUUCUGUUUGUCUCAUUUCCUCUCACUUGUUUUAAUGUACUUUACGCUGCCUUAAAUCCAUUUUGGAACAAGGUGGGGAAUAGAUAAAUACAUCCUAACUGUAUUUAAACAGCUUUCCAUUGUAUAUGUAUAUAUUCUUGUGUAUCUCUUUUCUAAAAAUUACUGCCUGCUGAUGCCUGCAAAUGGCUGUGUUUGCGUGUGCUAAUUGUGUAACUGACUGGAUUUAAAAUUGAGAGCUUUGAUGAGUACCCAGGAAGCAAGGAAACAGGGUGUUUUCAUUUUCAGUAUAAAAGGGAGGGUUGGGCCCAGGUGUCUGCCUUAAGAAUAGUCAGUUUAAGGCAAUGGUUCUCAACUGGGGCCAGUUUUCCCUCCCAGGGGGGCGCUUUUGGCAAUCUCUGGAGGCAUUUUUGGUUAUCACAACUUAGAGGGCAGGCAUCCGGCAUUGCUACUGGCAUCUAGCACGUAGAGGCCAGGGAUACUGCUAAACAUUCUACAAUGCACAGGACAGGCCCCUCAACCAAGAGGCACCCGGGCUAAAUCAUCAAUAGUGAUGAGGCUGAGAAACCCUGACUUCAAGGUAGAGGAGUUCUAGAAGGAAGAAGGAGCAGAGGCUUGCAGGUACCAAGGCUGCUCUGGGAACCCUCAGGGCAGCCUUCCUGAACCGGGCCAGGAAGAGGAAACAGUGGAGAGGGCCCCAGCUCCUCAGUUACCAGGAGAACCCGGAAUCUCUUACUGGGCCAUGAGAGAAACAAGAACAACUCAUGAAUGAAACAGAUUCCUCAGGUGUCCAGGAGGAGUGAGGCUUUUGUUGUCUAGGAAGGGGGAGCCUUUCAUCUGACACAAGAUAGCUUUUUUUUUUUUUUUUUUUUUUUUUUUUUAAGACAGGGUCUCACUCUGUCAUCCAGGCUGGAGUGCAAUGGUGCAAUGUAGGCUUACUGCAGCCUCAACCUCUGAGGACCAUCUGCUACACUCAGUCCACCAAUUCAAAUGCUAAUCUCUCUGGGGCCCAAGGGAUCCUCCUACCUCAGCCUCCUGAGUAGCUGAGAGCACAAGUGUGCACCGCCAUGCAUGGCUUAUUUAUUUAUUUAUUUUUGUAGAGAUGAGGGUUUUCCUGUGUUGCCCAGGCUAGUCUUGAACUCCUGGGCUGAAGCGAUUCUCCUGCCUUGGCUCCCCAAACUGCUGGGUUGAAGGUGUGAGCUGCUGCACUUGACCUCAGCAGCAGAUGUCUUCUAGUUGCCCCUGCUCCUCCUCCACUGAGAUCUCUGCCUCAAGAAGCUUCC
rnacentral:lncRNA from 10 species